CAACGUAUUCACCGCCUACCAUUCUCAGUAACCUCGCACGAUAGGUAAGGAUUUCUUUCUCAUUUUUUUUAAUAAUCAGUGAUUUUGAAUUCGACGGCGAUAUUUUUCUUAUUUUUUUUCAAGUAUUGAAUGUAAUCCAUGUUCGACGGUGAUUUUCUUCACAGAAUUCGAUUCUCACUUUUGGAAAAACUGCUGCAACUCUCGGUCCUUCGAAGGUUGCCGUUGUUCGAACACGAAUGAUGCCUCAAAUCGGAGGAAGAUUUUGAAUAGGUAAUAAAUUUUCGAUCUUUUCGUUCGUCCAUGGAAUUUCAGGGUUAAGAAUUGACUGUUCUGAUAGAUAUGAUCUGAAUCUAGGUUAUGCAGAUACAAUUAAUUAAUUCCUAGAUUUUUGUGGAGUCAUUUGGUGUUAUGUGAUUUUGUUAAUUUAUUUAAUUAUGUUAGCAUUUGCUGUUAUUUGAUUAUUUUUGUUAGCGUCAAGACUUUUUAUGUACUCAGUGUAUUGCUUUUGUAUUAAGUGAUAAUCUGAAAAAUAUGGUGGAACCACCACUAUCUGAUCAAUUGUGUUUAUUCUACCCCAUUAUUAAUUGAUUAUUUUUUUACUGUACUUCUUUGGUUCAUAAUUGUUAUUGUUUUCAUCAUUUAGGUUUGCUACGUUGUUGCAUCAAUGCUUGAAUUCAAUCAAAAAGGGAUCUUUGAAAGAGGUUGUCUUGGCAUCUCACAUUAUAGGUUUUGCUCAUGCCUUCACAUGAAGCAACUUUUAAUUUAGUGUUUUUAUUUUCCUAUUUUCUUUUUUCUUCUGGAAUUACAAUAGCUUGUAUGUUUAGUUGUUGAUGGAGAAGAAGCAGGGCAC
rnacentral:lncRNA from 1 species